GCCUUGGUAGCUUAGUUGGUAAAGCACCAGACCAUGAAAGCUGGAGUCCGUCCCAGGUUCAAGCCCUGGCCAAUGCA
rnacentral:tRNA from 2 species